CUACUGAAGGACUAGUGGUUAGGCCACAGCACUCUCACUGUUGUGGCCCGGGUUCAAUUCCUGGCCAGGGAA